rnacentral:rRNA from 1 species
GAUGAACGCUGGCGGCGUGCCUAAUACAUGCAAGUAGAACGCUGAAGCUUGGUGCUUGCACCGAGCGGAUGAGUUGCGAACGGGUGAGUAACGCGUAGGUAACCUGCCUCUUAGCGGGGGAUAACUAUUGGAAACGAUAGCUAAUACCGCAUAAAAGUCGAUAUCGCAUGAUAUUGAUUUGAAAGGUGCAAAUGCAUCACUAAGAGAUGGACCUGCGUUUUAUUAGCUAGUUGGUGAGGUAACGGCUCACCAAGGCGACGAUACAUAGCCGACCUGAGAGGGUGAUCGGCCACACUGGGAAUGAGACACGGCCCAGACCCCUACGGGAGGCAGCAGUAGGGAAUCUUCGGCAAUGGGGGCAACCCUGACCGAGCAACGCCGCGUGAGUGAAGAAGGUUUUCGGAUCGUAAAGCUCUGUUGUAAGAGAAGAACGAGUGUGAGAGUGGAAAGUUCACACUGUGACGGUAACUUACCAGAAAGGGACGGCUAACUACGUG